UAUUUUUUUGAGAAGUUCAACUUACUUCAAAUUGGAUGUGUUCUUGAGAUAAUUUGAUGGGGAUUUUGUAAAGUUCAUGUCCUCCAUAAUAUUUUCAAUCAAAUUUAGCUGCUCAACUUAAUUCACUUUCACCGAAAUAUCGUCUUCGACCAAAUCGGUAUGUGCAAUACCGACAAAACACAAUUAGAUGAAUUCAAAGCAAUUUUUGAUGGGGCUUUUGAAAUCAAACCAUUCCCAUAUCCUUUUCAACUAAUUUAUAUUGUGAAUUUUGAAUCAAAUCCAUCGAAUUAAUUUUUUCCUCUAAAUUUGGCAAUUUAGGGCUAGAAACCAUAAAUUCUAAAUUAGAACCAUUAGGAUCAGUAGAAAUUGAGGGUUUUACGAUAUUGUCAUUCCUUACCUACCCAAUAAUCAAUUGGUAUUGAUUUUGGUCGAUUUAAUUGGCAGUGGUUGGUCGUUACUCUUUCACCUCUGUUUGAGCUUGAAUUUUUGGAGAUAGAACCAAGGGUUGCAAACAAACCCCACUGGUUAUUUCACCUUAAAUCUCACCAAAAUUUGAUCGAAUUUCAUUGUGAAUCUUUGAUGAUUUUUGAUCGUAAAUGAAGAUAAAAGAAGAGUGAAAAUGGAGAAGAAGAGUGAUGAUGGAGGAGAAGGAUUUCUUUAUUUAUUUAUUUUUAAUUAAAUUUUUGGGUAAUUUCUGACUCCUUUUAUUUAUAUCUAUUAAUCAACACAAUUCUGCCCCAAAAUAUAAAAUGACCCGAUCCAAACAUGGUAUAUGAAAGGUUUCCAAAAAAGUUUCAGUACUCUUUUCUUGCCAUUUUCGCCGCUUCUCUUUAGUGUUCUUCUCAGGUAUCAACCGAAGGUUUGUGUUAUAACUGCUAUGGAUAAUUUUCCAGCUCCAUCGUGUUCCACCAUGCUCUUGCUCUCAUCUUCACCAGGUGGUUGGGCUUCAUCCCUCUGAUGUUGGAAGGUUCUGGCCAGAAAGUUCUUCUUCAACAAGUACCUCUUCCAUAUCUUCCAUGAAUAUAACUCUUAAAGGUGUUUGUGAUGAUGUCGUUGAUGAUGUCGUUUGUCUUUCCUCUCAAGUAUUGUUGUUCUACAGAUCCUGGGAAAUGUGGCCUGGCAUGAAGGAAAGCUCCAUCUACCCUUGUUUUUUGUGAUUUUUGGUUGCUAGAGCAUCCAGUUAGGAUUUUCACAGUAUAUUAGAUGUUAAAUUUACUCAAACAUUAUCUAUACCCCUGCUUUGUUCUCGUGGGACCCCUAGCUUUCUAUCUGCUUUAAUCGACUACCUGCGCUUGUUGUAAUUAGGCCUAUACAUGAAUCUAUCUUAUUUUGAUCCUCAGAUUGGGGAUUUGUGUUUUAUC